rnacentral:rRNA from 1 species
GAUGAACGCUGGCGGCGUGCCUAAUACAUGCAAGUCGAGCGAACGGACGAGAAGCUUGCUUCUCUGAUGUUAGCGGCGGACGGGUGAGUAACACGUGGAUAACCUACCUAUAAGACUGGGAUAACUUCGGGAAACCGGAGCUAAUACCGGAUAAUAUUUUGAACCGCAUGGUUCAAAAGUGAAAGACGGUCUUGCUGUCACUUAUAGAUGGAUCCGCGCUGCAUUAGCUAGUUGGUAAGGUAACGGCUUACCAAGGCAACGAUGCAUAGCCGACCUGAGAGAGUGAUCGGCCACACUGGAACUGAGACACGGUCCAGACUCCUACGGGAGGCAGCAGUAGGGAAUCUUCCGCAAUGGGCGAAAGCCUGACGGAGCAACGCCGCGUGAGUGAUGAAGGUCUUCGGAUCGCAAAACUCUGUUAUUAGGGAAGAACAUAUGUGUAAGUAACUGUGCACAUCUUGACGGUACCUAAUCAGAAAGCCACGGCUAACUACGUG